ACGCCGUAAACGAUGAGUGCUAGGUGUUAGGCCCUUUCCGGGGCUUAGUGCCGGAGCUAACGCAAUAAGCACUCCGCCUGGGGAGUACGACCGCAAGGUUGAAACUCAAAGGAAUUGACGGGGGCCCGCACAAGCGGUGGAGCAUGUGGUUUAAUUCGAAGCAACGCGAAGAACCUUACCAGGUCUUGACAUCCCGAUGCUAUUCUUAGAGAUAGGAAGUUACUUCGGUACAUCGGAGACAGGUGGUGCAUGGUUGUCGUCAGCUCGUGUCGUGAGAUGUUGGGUUAAGUCCCGCAACGAGCGCAACCCUUAUUGUUAGUUGCCAUCAUUAAGUUGGGCACUCUAGCGAGACUGCCGGUAAUAAACCGGAGGAAGGUGGGGAUGACGUCAAAUCAUCAUGCCCCUUAUGACCUGGGCUACACACGUGCUACAAUGGUCGGUACAACGAGUUGCGAGCCGGUGACGGCAAGCUAAUCUCUGAAAGCCGAUCUCAGUUCGGAUUGGAGGCUGCAACUCGCCUCCAUGAAGUCGGAAUCGCUAGUAAUCGCGGAUCAGCACGCCGCGGUGAAUACGUUCCCGGGCCUUGUACACACCGCCCGUCACACCACGAGAGUUUGUAACACCCGAAGUCGGUGAGGUANCCUUUUAGGG
rnacentral:rRNA from 1 species